AUGUGUAUAGGGGAGACGUGUUCUUUAUGAGAAAAUAUCACAGGGUCUAACCAUUGAAGAGGACCCUAGAGAGCCUUUUAGACACUCUCAAGAGAACGUUUUGUCCUCUAGAGACUUCCCCACGAUGAUCUCCUGUCUGGGUACCUGCUGAGGGACAAGCUUGAAACUGGCUUUCCUGCGGUGGACCAGCUUUGUCCUCAGCUUCCACCUCUUUGGGACGGUCAGGUUCCCUGUGGCCUUGUUUCUCCUCAUCCCCCUAUCUAAGGCUUUCCCUAGCAUUAGUCUGAUGGGAACUGGAAGGAAGAUUGAACUAGCCGCGCUGUGGCCUAGACCAGGACUGAGACACGGCUACCCAACCCGGUUUAAGAGAUGGACGGUCCCGGCUCUAGGCACAAACACGUGGCCGGGCUAGGGGCUCGGAAGCAGAAGCUGCCCGCCUUUCAGAUUGCUGGAGGCACUGGGGGCUCCGUGGCGCAGACCAGGUCGGAGAGACCAGAGAGCAUCACACCCGGAGAGUGAUGAGGGAGACAAUGCCCACUUCGUACGAGUGCAUUAAAGGAGUCCCUGGGGUUGGUCCCGGCCAGGGUCUCCGCACACAUCACUCCGAGUUCCUGGUCACAGUCCCCCCGCCCCCCGCAGCUCUGCGGGGAUCCUCCGUCCCCUGAGCGCCCUUCACCCCACACACUCAGCUUGAGAGGCAGCAAAGCCUCUCAAGUCCGGCCCCGCACUUACGUUCGGCCGCGGCGGCCGUAGGGGUACCGAGUGGGCUUCGCUCCACGCGCGGGUCGGGGUCCCGGGUCUGCAGGCUGCGGGGAUCCAGAGAUGCGGGCUACCAGACCGCGGCAGCUCCCGCCUCCUGGACUCCUCCCGCCCAGCUCUACUAGGCUGCAGUGUUACUCAUUUCCGCGUUGUCACGGAAACUUUUUGCUCCCUAUAAGAACAAAACACCCGCCUUUACUGGCGCCAGGCGGAGGUCCUUAAGGACGACCGUGAGGGUUGCUGGCGAGGGACCCUGGAUCCGCCUCGGAGACCAUCCUCUGGGUCUCCCGAAUGCUUCAGAGAGGACAGCGGAAUUGGAGAGCCACCUGAUGAGAAGAAUCUGGACGCUGGAGAGGAAUAAGGAGAGAGACAAGGGACCCGGGAAGGACGCCCUUAAAAUCAGGUCUAGGCCGCAGAAUGUAAAGGGUUAAGUUGCUGGUAGUCAACCCGCAUUUCUGUGGCGCGUUUUACAAGCCUUGGAAUUCCUGGGGCCACCUAUUUUGUCCCUCGAGGAAAAUAAAAGUCGAGACUCAAGGCAA